UACGGAGGUGGCAAGCGUUGUUCGGAAUUACUGGGCGUAAAGGGCGCGUAGGCGGCAUGGCAAGUCAGAUGUGAAAGCCCCGGGCUUAACCUGGGAAUUGCAUCUGAAACUGUUGUGCUUGAGUUCUGGAGGGGGUAGUGGAAUUCCCAGUGUAGCGGUGAAAUGCGUAGAUAUUGGGAGGAACACCUGCGGCGAAGGCGGCUACCUGGACAGAUACUGACGCUGAGGCGCGAAAGCUAGGGGAGCAAACGGGAUUAGAUACCCGUGUA
rnacentral:rRNA from 1 species